rnacentral:rRNA from 1 species
UACGAAGGGGGCUAGCGUUGCUCGGAAUGACUGGGCGUAAAGGGUGCGUAGGCGGUUUGGUAAGUCUUGUGUGAAAUCUCCAGGCUCAACUUGGAGUCUGCACGAGAAACUGCCGGGCUUGAGUGUGGGAGAGGUGAGUGGAAUUCCUGGUGUAGCGGUGAAAUGCGUAGAUAUCAGGAGGAACACCUGUGGCGAAAGCGGCUCACUGGACCACAACUGACGCUGAUGCACGAAAGCUAGGGGAGCAAACAGG